GUGUCGACACGCGCACCGCCCCCUCCGGCCUCACGCGCCACGCCGACACGCUGCCGCUCCGGCAGGACAAGCCUCCUAUCACAAGCUCUUGGUCGCUCUGCCGUCCCUGUACCGGCCAGUGACGCAUGAAAGACUGGCUGCAAGAGAAACCUGAUGGAGCAGAAGAGGUGUGCCUGAUUACGCUGAGGGAGGCUAGUGAGUGGAAGAUGUUGCCGGAAAACUAGUGCUGUGGUGCAAGUAUUCAACAGUUCCAGUGCGUAUAACUAACGGUGGACAUUUACUAGGUCAUGCAGGUGGACCGGAUGCUGCAAAGUAAAGCAAUCUGGUAAAUAAUGCAUCAAGAACUGGAUGACGGAAAAUAAGUGAAAUCUAAAUGUAACACAAAGAACAACUGUGUCUACGAAUCACGCUUCGUGGAUUGAAAGAUCAUUAAAAUUCAAGUGACAAGAAAUUCUGUAUUCUGAAACGUACAAGGCUGCACGCGAGGGUGGUAGCCAUGAUGGGCGUGUGUGUGGCUGGGAAGAGGGCAUCCCGACUCUCGCCGCCCCUCGUCGCCAUCUGCCUGACGCUCAGUAUUGUCUUCCCUGCCUUCGGUGAGUACCUGCCGCCUUUCACUGUCUCACACCAACUCUGACAAAGUUAUUUUGCCACCUGAGGACACGCAAGCAUUGUGACACUGUCACUGACUGAUGCCUUCACUCGUUCAUUGGUCUACGAUAUAUUUCUACUAAAA